rnacentral:rRNA from 1 species
ACGCACGCUGGCGGCGUGCUUAACACAUGCAGGUCGAACGGAAAGGCCUGCUUUCCCUUGUGGAUUGCGGGUGCUCGAGUGGCGAACGGGUGAGUAACACGUGAGUGAUCUGCCCCCAACUUGGGUAUAAGCCUGGGAAACUGGGUCUAAUUCCCGAUAGGACUGCAGGGUGGUGCCUGUGGUGGAAAACGAUUUUCUAGUGGUUGGGGAUGAGCUCGCGGCCUAUCAGCUUGUUGGUGGGGUAAUGGCCUACCAAGGCGGCGACGGGUAGCCGGCCUGAGAGGGUGGACGGCCACAUUGGGACUGAGAUACGGCCCAGACUCCUACGGGAGGCAGCAGUGGGGAAUAUUGCACAAUGGGCGGAAGCCUGAUGCAGCGACGCCGCGUGGGGGAUGACGGCCUUCGGGUUGUAAACUCCUUUCGACCGCGAGGAAGCCACCUGGUUGGAAGGGUGGUGACGGUAGUGGUAGAAGAAGCACCGGCUAACUACGUG